CUGAGAUUGAAAAGAAAGUGGGUCGACAUGGAACUCUAGGUCACGGAAAAGAUUUUAAAAAGGUUACAGACGAUCUUCCAUUCAAAAACACUGCUGAUAUACAAGCGUUUGAAAACAAAUUGGCUGAUGCAGAUUUUUGCAGUACUUUUGUAAAGUAUGUUGGACAAAUUGGCGGGAACAGUGCCAAAGAAAAUACUUUGAGAAUAUUGCGACAAGUAUUCACCAACGACUUCGCUAAAGACGCUUCAUGGUGCGGUCUGAGGGCCAAUUUUCAACUUUCAAAUUUGAAAGUCACAGCAGCCAUCAAAGAUGGAGUGAGACUGUCAUACACCUGUACAGAUAAAGAAUUUGAAGAUACGGUGUCAGAAUGGUUCCGCCAAGCUAAACAGCGGUUCAAGAGAGAGAAUACAAAAAAGAACGGACCUCAACCACAUCCUGCAG